GAGAUCUGCUCGAUUAAUUACAUGUCCUAAAAUUGGAACACUAAAGAAAUGAGUAGCAUGGCCUCUGCGCAAGGAUGACACGCAAAGUCGUGAAGCGUUCGAUAUUUUU
rnacentral:snRNA from 1 species